rnacentral:rRNA from 1 species
AUUGAACGCUGGCGGCAUGCCUUACACAUGCAAGUCGAACGGCAGCACGGGACCAAUCCUGGUGGCGAGUGGCGAACGGGUGAGUAAUACACCGGAACGUGCCCAAUCGGGGGUGAUAACGCAGCGAAAGCUGUGCGAAUACCGCAUACGAUCUACGGAUGCAGCCUGGGGACCGCAAGGCCUUUCGCGAAUGGAGCGGCCGAUGGCAGACUAGGUAGCUGGUGGGGUUAAUGGUCACCAAGCCAACGAUCUGUAGCUGGUCUGACAGGACGACCAGCCACAUUGGGACGUGACCACGGCCCAGAGGCCUACGGGAGGCAGCAGUGGGGAAGUGUAGACAAUGGGGUCGAACCUGAUCCAGCCAUGCCGCGUGCAGGAUGAAGGCCUUCGGGUUGGAAACUGCUUUUGUACGGAACGAAACGGCCUUUUCUAAUAAAGAGGGCUAAUGACGGUACCGUAAGAAUAAGCACCGGCUAACUACGUG